GCCGGGAAACGCGACCCGCGGCGGCCGCGCGGGACUGCUGGGAAGCGGUGGCGCCGCGGUGGGCUUGGAGAAAGUCGUGAGCUGAGGGACGCAGCCUUCUGUCCGUACCGGCACUGCAGGAGAAGGGCUGGCAGAAGGGGCACCCGCGCAGGCUCAGAUUGCACACAGAAGUGUGCACACAGUGCUCCCAGAAGCAUCAGUUGGGACAGAAAGAGUGGCUCCAGCCCCCCUCCCCCCCCCAACUCCAGGCAGUCACGUGCUCAUGUUCAGGAGUUCCACUACAGGGGGCUACAGGUGUCUGAAGAAGUUGACAGAACAGAGCGACCAAACUGAAGGAACCACGCAUCUUCCAUACAGGGAUCAGCUAACCUCUGCAAGCUACCAAGAGGAAUCCAGGGUGCACCGACUGAAUCCAAACUGCAUCUCCUGAGCUAGCAGGGGGAUGGCAGGUGAUACGUGCUCUGCGCUUCUGCCUGAAGAGCUCAGCCAGGAGGUGGCAGCGCCUCUUGUACAGCACGCGGCCUGCAGGAAAAGAAGAGAUGGAGUUCUGGCAGCAGUUGAUAAUACAACGUUGUCACAGGUCAUUUUUAAUAAUUGAAAGAACAAUAAAAACUAUGUGUUUUAAUUCAGGAUUAACUUUAAGCCUGUUGUUUAUACAGAGGACAGUCAGCGUACGACCAUCUUCUAUUUGCUGUAUUAGAGAAGUCUCUAUCCAGCAAGAGGUUCAUGGUUCCUACUGUACAAUGGCAGGGGCAGAGUCCAUUUCAGACUCUAUCAAUACCUCAAAUUACGUCCACAUCCCCAGGAGUCCAGGCUCCUUCCAGGAGCUGACAAAAUGGCAACAACCCCUUGAUGGAAGCGGGACCUACCACGAGCACAGACCUCCUCUCCGGUUUCUACUCCCCUUAACGCCAGCAAGUCCGCUCACUUUAGAACUGGGGGAUUUGCGUUUUACUCUGGGAACACCCAGCAGCCAACUGACACAGCACUGACACUGCUGAACAAAAGUUCAGUGAGAUGGGUCCUAUUUCUAAGAUCCAAAACACCACUGCGCAUCACUGUGCAUGUGUAAAGCACUCCAAGAGCUGUGCUAUCGUAGCACAUUUUCAAAGCAUAUACCUGCUCUGAAGUAGACUGUAGCUUUGGUUAUGCUCACUGGAACCUACUGAGUUAUUCCAGUUGGCACAGGCAGGACUUCACAAAAUAUCUCUGGCUUUCUAUGGGGAUCGGUUAACUACACCCCAAAGUUAUUCAGCUCUGCACUGUUGAGGAGUUCAGCUGAAAUCCUGGGAAGUAUUUCAAUGCACCCCAUCUUUCUUCUGCUGCUGAAUAAGACAAAAACACCGAAAAAAACCCCACAAAAAAAGUAACCAAAUGCACCAGGAGCAAAACAUCGCCAUUCAUCUCUGUGCUCAGUGACCUCUCACAUUCACAUCGCAGCACCUCUGCUUCACAAAAGAAAACCAAACUGAAAAACAACGAACAAAAACGAAUUACCGGCAGUAAGGAGCGCUGCACACAGUGCCCAUCAGAGCUUUCCCAUCUGUAUUUCUGUUAACAGAUGAGUUUUGCUCCUUCUGAUGACUUUUUAACAACGAUCAGUGAAGACAGCACCAUCACAAGUUAGUCCAGUUACCCGACUCGCUGAUUUUACAAGACAUUAGAGGCAGCUCAGGUAUUACUGAACAGAAUGAGCUUUGGAGGGCAAAAUCUUGGCUGGAGCUCUGCUGGCAAGAAAAACUUGCACGAUACUGAAUAUCAGCGGCUUGACAGAUACUCCUGUGCACAAGAUGGCCAGCAUCAGCCCAUAUGCCACUGCUGGGCCGCGACAAAGGCAUGCAGCUUUGUCUUUUUCCUGCUCCAUUUCACCAGCUGGGAAAGCCAUGUCCUUGUGCCAUUCUAGAUGUACCAAAACCAGAACAAUGAGACCAGAGUAUAUUUUGUACAAGAAAGAAAUACAGUUCAGGACUAGAAACCACAGAGCUUCUGAAAUCUGCACAGCUGGAUGGGACUGGGAUUUCAGCUGCAGGGGGUUUUCCUAGAAUGGCUAAAUCAUUACAGCACAAAACCCUUUAUAUAGCAGGGAAGUAAGAGAGAGAAAAACAAGAGAGCUAUGAAGCAGAGGCGCCUUGUAGAGGAGGAUACAACAGCGUUCAAGCUGUCAUCUCCACCCAAUGCACCCUCCAGCCAUCUCACUGCCACUCCCUGAGCAUCUCUUGGCUCCUGGGGCACAGAGCAUGGCACAGGGAGAGAGAAAACCCUCCAUGCCUUCACAGCCCUCGUCAACUUUCCACCCUCAACAACUCGAGCCCUCACAGCAGCAGCACCUUCACCUCAUUCAGAGAGCAAGAAAUCCCAGCCACACAUAACAAAUUGCCACAACAACAGAGGACUGUAUGACACAGCUGCAAGGAAGGUGGAAGAAGAACAGGCACACGGAGCCAUCAACAAAGAAACUCGAGUGUGGCUUAGCACAGGGCCACAAGAACAAGGCAGCACCAAGCACCCAGUCAGUACUCUGCAGGCAGCAUUCUGAGAUGGGAAUGUCACACAUGGACUGCACUUACCUUACCUAGGCAACUUGUAGGCCUUGAUGAGUGGCAGAGGUGCCUGAAGACUGGAGGAAAGCCAGUGUCACUUCAAUCUUCAGAAAGGGCAAGGAGGAGGACUGGGCAACUACAGGGCAGUCACGCUUACCUCCAUCCCUGGAAAGGAGGUGAAGCAACUUGUUCUGAAUGUCAUCUCCAAGCAAUUGGAAAAGAAAGUUAUCAGGAGUAGUCAGCAUGGAUUUCAGGCUGCCCAAGAGGCUGUGGGGUCUCCUUCUCUGGAGACAUUCAAAACUUUCCUGGACUCAUUGCUGUGUGACCUAACCUAGAUGUUCCUGCUCUGGCAGGAUGAUUGGACUAGAUGGUCUUUCAAGGUCCCUUCCAAUCACAUAUUCCGUGAUUCUGUGAUUCACCAAGGGGAAAUCAUGCUUGACCAACCUGGCAGUCUUCUAUGCUGUCAUCACCGACUGAGUAGAUGGGGGGAGAGCAGUGGAUGUCAUACACCUUGACUUCAACAAAGCUUUUGACACUGUUUUCCAUAACUUCCUCAUAGGUAAGCUUAGAAGUGUGGGAAAGAUGAGUGAGGUAAACUGGGAACGGAGGUGGAUAGAGCUCAGAGUGUUCUCAUCAGUGGUGAAGAGGUCUAUAGAGUUGGAGGUCUACAGCGAGUGGUGCUCCUCAGGGGUUGGUACUGCAUCCAGUCUUGUUCAGCAUCUUCAUUAAUGCUGCAGUUUGGUGAUUUUUGGUGUCAGUAUUCCACAUCAGACCAUCACAUGAACCAGUGGAAGUUAAAGAGUUAACGUUCUGGUUCCGUUUACUGCCUCUUAUUGGCAUUUUGGGUGUUCUGAUGGGAGGGGAGGGGCAGCAUCCCUGGAGGACUUGGUGUGGAGAGGCAGUGCGGCAGACCUCCGGGGCUGCGGCCGUCUCUCCCUCCGUUGGGCUGGCUCAGCUUGCUGUGGAGAAGGGCACGUGCUUCCCUCUCACUUCCGUACUCUUCUCUCUCAUUUGGCUUGAUUUCAUUGGAUUUAGUGAAUUACUGUGCCCCCCUUGUCACGGACUCAGAUAACUCCGUGACAGUUAGUGAUCUGGAUGAAGGGACAGUGUCCACUCUCAGCAAGUUUGCUGAUGAUACAAAGCUGGGAGGAGUGACUGACACACAGAAGGCUGUGCUGCCCUUUGGUGAGAGCUGCACGGAGCAGAGUCGGGCAGAGAGGAACAUUAGGAGGUUCAACAAGGGCAAGUGUAGGAUUCUGCACCUGGGGAGGAAUACCUGCAUGCAUCAGCACACAUUAGGGGCUGGGCUGCUGAAAAAGAUCUUUGUGGAGAAGGACCUGGAUGUCCUCGUGGCCAACAAGUUGCCCAUGAGUCAGCAGUGUGCUUUUGUGGCCAAGAAGGCUAAAGGCAUCCAGGAGUACAUUACAAGAGGAGAGCCAGCAGGUCCAGGGAGGUUCUCCCCCCACCCUGCUCUGCACUGGGGAGGCCUCAUCUGAAAUACUGUGUCCAGUUCUGGGCUUCUCAGUUCAAAAAAGACAGGGAUCAUCUCCUGUAUGAAGAAAGGCCGAGCGUCUUUAGACUGUUCAGCCUGCAGAAGACAAGGCUGAGAGGGAUCUAGUCACUGUUUAUAAAUAUCUAAAGCAUAGGUAUCGAGUGGAUGGGAGCGGACUCCCUUCAGUCCUGUGCUUGCCACACAGCCCUCAGACAUUUGGUUUGGUAGGAGGGGAUUGCAGAAGCAACAUCCCUCCCACUGUAAGCAAAGAUCAGAUUUGUGACCAUCUGAGAAACCCCAACAUCCACAAGUCUAUGAGUCCUGCUGAGACACAUCCCAGAGUCCUGAGGGAACUGGCUGAUGUAGUUGCCAAGCCACUCACAAUGAUGUCUGAAAAGCUGUGGCAAUGGGGUGAAGUCCAUGGUUACAGGAAAAAAGGUAACAUCACACCCGUUCCUAAGGGUAAAAAGAAUGACCUUGGGAACUACCAACCAAGACCAAGUCUCAUCUCUGUGCUGGGGAAGAUCCUGGAGCAGAUUCUCCUGGAAGCUAUGCUAAGGCACAUGGAAGACAUGAAGGUGAUACAGGAGAACCAGCGUGGCCUCACCAAGGACAAAUCCUGCUUGACCAGCCUGGUGGCCUUCUAUGAUGGCAUCACUGCAUCAACAGAAAAGGGAAGAGCCACUGAUACAAUCUAUUUGACUUCAGUGAGGCCUUUGACACGGUACCGUGCAUCUUCCUCCCCAAACUGGAAAGAUAUGGAUUUGAUAGGUGGAUUGUUCAGUGGACAAAGAACUAGCUACAGGAUCGAGUCCGGAGAGCAGUGUUCAAUAACUCAGUGUCUGAAUGGAGAUUGUGAUGAGUGGUGUCCCCCAGCAGUCAGUGUUGAGGCCAAUACUCUUUAAUAUCUGCAUCAAUGACACUGACAGUGGGAUUGAGUGCACUCUCAGCAAGUGUGCUGAUGACACCAAGCUGUGGGGUGUGGUCGACACACCACAGGGAUGGUACCAUUCAGAGGGACCUGGGCAGACUUGAGCAGUGGCCCAGGUGAACCUCAUUGAGGUUCCUCAUUCCCUUGACUGUGUAGAGGAAAUGGACCUGGGGGUGUUGAUUGACGCUAGACUGAACAUGAGCCAGCAGUGUGCCCAGGUGGCCAAGAAGGCCAACGGCAUCCUGGCUUGUAUCAGAAGUAGUGUGGCCAGCAGGAACAGGGAAGUGAUUG
ensembl:lncRNA